AAUAUUCCGCAAUGGACGGAAGUCUGACGGAGCGACGCCGCGUGGAUGACGAAGGCCGAAAGGUUGUAAAGUUCUUUUGCCGGGGAAGAAUAACCGCAGGAGGGAAUGCCUGUGGGCUGACAAGAACCGGCGAAUAAGCCCCGGCCAACUACGUGCCAGCAGCCGCGGUAACACGUAGGGGGCGAGCGCUGAUCGGAAUUACUGGGCGUACAGGGCAUGUAGGCGGCUUGGAAAGCCUGGCGUGGAAGUCUGCAGCUUAACAGCAGGGUUGCGCUGGGAACUGCUGAGCUUGAGUGACGGAGAGGGAGCUGGAAUUCCUGGUGUAGGGGUGAAAUCUGUAGAUAUCAGGAAGAACACCGAUGGCGAAGGCGAGCUCCUGGCCGAUGACUGACGCUGAGGUGCGAAAGUGUGGGGAUCAAAC
rnacentral:rRNA from 1 species